rnacentral:rRNA from 1 species
UACGAAGGGGGGCUAGCGUUGCUCGGAAUCACUGGGCGUAAAGGGCGCGUAGGCGGCCGAUUAAGUCGGGGGGUGAAAAGCCUGUGGCUCAACCACAGAAUUGCCUUUCAAUACUGGUUGGCUUGAGACCGGAAGAGGACAGCGGAACUGCGAGUGUAGAGGUGAAAUUCGUAGAUAUUCGCAAGAACACCAGUGGCGAAGGCGGCUGUCUGGUCCGGUUCUGACGCUGAGGCGCGAAAGCGUGGGGAGCAAACAGG